CGACAAAUGGCGAGAUAUGCUGUAUACGGAAUACAUGCAAUAGAGGUUAAAAUCAUAUAAAAUACAAUAUUUAGUGUGCAAUAGUAGCCCAUUGCGUAGCUAUUGUGUGUACUGGUUUAUUAUAAAUUUGUUGGCUUUUUUGUGUUUUGAUUUGGCUUUUUUUUACCACUGGGAUCUGGCAACACUGGUACUGAUGCACGACCUUCCCUGUCCAAUUAUUACUACCAAUCUUAAGAUCGGUGAUCUACGUUGGUUCCAUCAUUUGUGCUGGGUUGUUCGGACAUCAGCUGUAUCAGUAUCGUAUCUCAUAACCAUCGUAUUUUGGGCGUUUGGAUUGGAAAGCAAAUCCCCGCCUCGUAUCAAUGUCCAUCGCC